AAGGCCAAAAUUGUGAACCCUGAU
rnacentral:sRNA from 1 species